UGGAGAGAUGGCUCAGCGGUUAAGACCACUGGCUGCUUUCCCGAAGGUCCUGAGUUCAAAUCCCAGCAACCAUAUGGUGGCUCACAACCAUCUGUAAUGAGAUUGGAUGCCCUCUUCUGGUGCGUCUGAAGAUAGCUACAGUGUACUUACAUAUAACACAUAAAUAAAUAAAUCUUCAAAAAAAAAAAGAAUUGUCCUAAAAAAAAAGAUUUUAUAUAUAUAUCUUUUCUCUUCAAAGAGAGAUACUAUUAAACAAUCCACUUUUGGAAUCAAACCAUUGUAACGUGUUGGAAAUUAUUAGUGUUUUUUUCUUGGUUUCUACCCUCUAGCAAAGAUGGUUCAUAAAGCUGUAUUUUAACAUAAAAUCUAUAUUGACUUCAGACCUUUAAGAAUGGCAGAGGUUUUGUAGUAAGCGAGUAGAGGAACUGGGUGGGAUGGUUACAUUGAACAGUAAAGUUGCAUUACUUUACAUAUUUAUUUUCUUUGUCUUGAUAGUACUUAAGAUCUAUUUCUUUAGUUACUUCCAUGUAUACAGAACAUUGUUAUUAUAAUCACCUUAAAACUGCAUCUUUAAAGCUUGUUCAGAGUCUUUCCUUUCCUUUCCUUUCCUUUCCUUUCCUUUCCUUUCCUUUCCUUUUCUUUUCUUUUCUUUUCUUUUCUUUUCUUUUCUUUUCUUUUCUUUUCUUUUCUUUUCUUUUCUCUUUGCUCCUCCAUCUGAAAUUGUUUCUGUAGAUGAAAUUCACGGGUAGAGUUGGUCCUAAGUUGCAUCUUUAUAAAGAAAUAGACAUACAUUUAUUUUCCUUCUCUUCUCUUCUCUUCUCUUCUCUUCUCUUCUCUUCUCUUCUCUUCUCUUCUCUUCUUUUUUGCCCGGCUUUUCUUUCUUUCUUUCUUUUUUUAAAAAAGAUUCAUUUAUUAUUAUAUCUAAAUACACUGUAGCUGUCUUCAGACACACCAGAAGAGGGCGUCUCAUUACAAGUGGUUGUGAGCCAUCAUGUGGUUGCUGGGAUUUGAACUUGGCACCUUUGGAAGAGUAGUCAGUGCUCUUACCGGCUGAGCCAUCUCUCCAGCCCCGUAUUCAUUUUCUUUCUCUCUGAUAGGGAGGGCGAAUAUUGUGUACGCAUUCUAAAUUAGGCAUCUACAAUAAAUUACUGGAUUAUGGACUUCAGUGUACUGUAAUUUUUAGAUGCCAUAUCUACUGUCACUGCAAGGAAUCAUUCCUAGUUUUCAGUCUUCGGAUGGGUUUACUGAGGCUUCCUUGGUCCUGUAUAAAGCAUGCUUAGAUUUGCUAUACUUCUGUUAUUAGUAAUGAAAUUAUUCCCCAAAAUUUUAUUUCAGUUUUUAGGUCAAAUGCUGGACAAGAUGGAACGAUAAUUUGCUAGUUUCAAUUUUUAGAAUAGAAGAAAAAAUACAAAAAAAUUAAGUGAGAGAAUUCCUGGGUAGCUUGGGAUUAUUGAUAAUUUUUUUAAAUACGGAGUUUCAGACACUAAACUUUUUUUUUUUUUAUCUACUAGGAGAUGAAAAUAAAGGCCUGGGUUCUAAAGACAGGCCUGCUCUUGAUUUUCUUCUAUCUUUUCACUAGCUAACUGACUUCUGACCAAGUUAUACACCAUCUCAGAGCCUUGGUUUCUUUCUUUUUUUAUGGGGGGGGGGUGGGGUUCGAGACAGGGUUUCUCUGUGUAGCCCUGGCUAUCCUGGAACUCACUUUAUAGACCAGGCUGACCUCGAACUCAGAAAUCCACCUGCCUCUGCCUCCUGAGUGCUGGGAUUAAAGGCAUGUGCCACCAUGCCCGGCUGCCUUGGUUUCUUUAUCUGGGAAAUGAAGCAAAAAACUUUCAUAGAAACAUGAAAUAAAUAGCAAGAUGCAAUGCAAAUGGUAGUUAUUAUUAGAAGUCAUUUUAAUUUUAAAAAAUUAUGCAUUUCUAUUUUAGAGAAGCCUUAUUCUAAAGUACUAGUUCUCAUGACUGCUAAAGAAGAUACUUAGGCAGAAAUCAUACAUAGAAUGACUCAACUUCAUCGAAGCUUUCUUUGUUUUUAGAAAUUUCAUUUUUAAUAGUAGCUUUAAAAUUACAAUGAAAUCCUGAGUACUUAACAGGACCAUCAAAGUGUUCUUUUAAAAAAUUUUCUUCUGUAAUAAUUUAUAUUCAGAAUAAUUUCACAGGUUGAGUAGGACAAGCUCUCAAGGUGAAAAUCUGAAGGUCAAUUCUACUUUUGUAUAGUAAUAGAAAUAGCUGUUGUCAGGGAAGUCAGGGUAUUUGAAAUGCAUCUUCCCUUCUAUUUAUGAAAGCAAACAGGUUUUUUGAAUUCUGUAUUAUAGGUGUAUGACAGUUUGCAUGUUGUAAGAUGGCUAGGUUUUCCACUCAUUGAAGGUUUUAUAAGGGUCCUGACAGACAAGCUAACAUGUCAAAACAGUAAGUCUGGCCUUGCUCUUUGCAACCAGAAGGAUAUCUGACUUUUUAGUACCAGUUAAAAUUGAGUGGGGUUUUUAUUGUUGCUUCUUUUUUAAAAUGAUUUUAUUGAACUUAUUAAGUGUGUGUGUAUGCCUGGGUGCAUGUUACUUCUGUGCUAGAAUGACUGAGGAGGGGUUGGAGCCUCUGGAGCUAGGGCUACAGGCAGUUGUGAGCUACCUUACAUGGUUGCUAGGAAUCAAACUUGUGUCUCGUGAAGAGCUGUAAUUACUCUUAACGACUAGGCCCUUUCUCCAGCCCAUUUUUGUUGUUGUUUUGAUUUUGACUUUUGAGACAGUUUUUCAUUAUGUAGCUUUAGCUUUCUGAGUGCCUUGCUUAGGAUCAGUUUGUGAAACUUGGCUUAGAGCUUAGGUCAAAUUCAUCAUUCUUGAACUGUUUAAAAAUAAGUGCCCCGAUGGUGAUACCCAUGUACUCUGGAAACCCUGUCUCGAAAAACC
rnacentral:lncRNA from 1 species